AGUGAACGCUGGCGGUAGGCCUAACACAUGCAAGUCGAACGGCAGCACAGUAAGAUCUUGCUCUUACUGGUGGCGAGUGGCGGACGGGUGAGGAAUACAUCGGAAUCUACUUUUUCGUGGGGGAUAACGUAGGGAAACUUACGCUAAUACCUCAUACUACCUACGGGUGAAAGCGGGGGAUCUUCGGACCUUGCGCGAUUGAAUGAGCCGAUGUCGGAUUAGCUAGUUGGCGGGGUAAAGGCCCACCAAGGCGACGAUCCGUAGCUGGUCUGAGAGGAUGAUCAGCCACACUGGAACUGAGACACGGUCCAGACUCCUACGGGAGGCAGCAGUGGGGAAUAUUGGACAAUGGGCGAAAGCCUGAUCCAGCCAUACCGCGUGGGUGAAGAAGGCCUUCGGGUUGUAAAGCCCUGUUGUUGGGAAAGAAAAGCAGCAGGUUAAUACCCCGCUGUUCUGACGGUACCCAAAGAAUAAGCACCGGCUAACUUCGUG
rnacentral:rRNA from 1 species